AGCAGUGCAGUUGUGGAGGUAAAGCUCAGGACCAGUGUUGGGUGGACUAGACUCUGGGAUUUUUAGAGGUCCAGGGGGAUCAGGACUCUGGAGUAGGUGGACUGGGCAUAGUGUCUGGAGUGUCAGUGGUCUUGAACUGUGGCAGGUGGCCUGCAGUAGCAUGAUGCAGAGCAGAGACUAGCCUUCCGGAGGCUAGCAACUGGCCAUGGCAGUGGCCAUGAAGGACAUCCAGACCAGAGGCUUGGUAGAGUCAGGUAUACCAGGAUUGUGCCACUAACUAAGGCUAGCAGAGUGACAACAAACAGAAGUGGUGCAGAGAAGUGGACAGAUAUCGGAACAGGGAAGAGACCCUGAUUAUAAAUGGAAAUAUAUAAUCAAAAGUCUCUCCAUCCUUUCAGAGAUUCUCAAGGAGAUACAAGAAGGCAGAGGACUAAGCUCAUGCAACUUGGUGUCACUGGAAGAUGGAUGAAGAAAUUGGCACUCAGAGAGGUUAAGUACCUGCCCAAGAAUUUUGAGUCUGGCCACCAGAUUUGCUGUGACCUUGGGCAGAAGAAAAUCAGCACAAAUUGGCUGGAGUGUUUUUUCCUCUAGGCUUUGAUCAUCAAUCGUCUUCAGCUCCUUUCUGCCCCCUCCCCACCCCCGCGCCCAAAAAAACAGCCACACACUGCCGUUCCUGGCACAACACCAUGAGCACUUACUAGGCAAUUUGUUCAGUCUUGAGUAUAAUGAAGAUAUGCACUCAAUGUUCUGAAGGCCGAUUCUAUGGAGAGGGUGCCAGGCUACUCGCUGAAGGUUGGUGAAGGUUUGUUCAGAGACCUUUUUUCAGGUUGGCCAAGUUGGUUGGCUUUGACAUCAGUCUGAUCCCUGGCUGGUCCUGCCCUGCACUUGAUCCAAACAGAUGUGUCUCCGCAGUCCUCUCCAUCUGACACCAGCCGGAGGAAGUCUCAUUUGUCUUUGAAAGGCCUCCCUCAACCAUACUUAUUUUGAAAUGAGGCUGGAAACGCCACGCUGCAAGAAUCGAUUCGAGCACUGAUCUUUCCCUCCUUCAGGAGCCUGGUAUUCCAGUGUUUUGGAUGACUCCAGCCCCCCGCCCUGGUAGCAUCCUGGCUCCCUGGGAUGAGCAGACUCCCAGAUGUCAUCUAGCUGCCCCUUUGCUCCUAGGCUGGAUACACCGCACCUGCCAACCAUCGCUUGUCCUUCUCACAAGGGCAACAGUUUAUUAAGAGCCAAAGGAGUGGCACUUUCCUUUCGGUCCUUCCCACAGCUCUGCGGGGAAUGUCAGAGGGAGCCCGCAAAACCACAACGUGCAGUUGCUUUGUCAAUUCAAUAGGUUUUAUCAGCCCCAUUUUCCAGAUGAAGAAAGUGAGGCUCAGAGAGGUUCCUUUUUGUUUUAGUAGUCGUAAAAGUCAGGCUUCCUACCCAGAGUUGACUGGUUACAAAUCCCAUUUCCUAAAUUUUUUUUUUUUUUAAGUUGUGAAACACGUUAGUCACAUACAGAAGCAGGUAUACAUAAAGCUUAUAUUCACAUGUAAUUGGAAAAGAGUUAGAACAGUACUGUUAUUUUAAAUAGAAGAGUGUGAUAUUGUAUUGUUUUGUUUUUUAACUAUUGUUUGAUUAAAUUUGGUGUUUAAUAAUGGUGGAAAUAGCUCACAUAAUUUUCACAUAAUUUUCACUUUUUGGGUGUGAAUACAAAUUUGGGGUUCUUCUCCAUCUGCCCAGAGAGGUCCACCCUGCGGACCCCUGGAUGACUCACACUUUCACCCCAUGUAAGCCUACCAUGAACAUGUGACUGCCAUGUUUUGCAUUUUUAUGUUCUACUUAAUUGAUAUCAGAUUGUGAUUUGCUGUUCUUUUUUCCUUUUGUGACUUUUUUUUACUCAAUUUUUGUGUGUUAGAUAUCUAUCUGUGUUGUUAAAAGUAAUUGUAGGUCAUUCAUUAUAACUGCUACAUAGUAUUUUAUCAUUUGGAAAGCCAUAAUUUUUUAUUCAUUUUCAAGUUAAU